rnacentral:piRNA from 1 species
UCUAUGGGCUGGCUAAAAUUUCUCCA